ACCUUCAGGAAGACCAAUAAGCUGUUAUGAUUCAGGCUAAGCCACGCCUCUCAGCCGCAGGGUCCCUCCUAGGAAGGUCAAAAAGUUAUCUCAAGAGACGCCCCUUCCGUCUGCGACUCGCCCAGUGAGGCCAGUCGCCUGGAGCCGGUUUUCUUAUCCCAGAGUUAACGCAGCAUAUCGCCAUCUUUUGUGUGGUCAAAGGACUCCUUCGAUGUUUAUCUUCUCCAACUGGACUUCGCAAGAGAACUAUAUAGAAACGUGCUGAAUAGAGUUGGCUUCUACCAAACUAUAACAUGAUUCAAGGUGUCGAAAAUAGAAGUGGAAACUUGUGAAGCCACAGACUGGCGAGAGGAGUGCCCUCAGUAAAGGUGGUGCCCCAGACUUCACGUGCUCUGGACCGGGCUCCGCCCCAGAGGGAUCUGGAAUGGAAGGCGGAUCUUCCCAGGAGCUCUGCGGUGCCUAGGAUUGCUGGCCAGCAGAGCAUCUGGCAUGGAGCAGACACAGGACAUGUUUAUUGAAUGAAUGGAUGGAUCUUCCAUGCCUAGGAGAUGGUGAACCAGUAGGAAAGCAGUCUGAGACAACCAGUAUCCACUGCCAGGAGGGUUCUGGAACCAAUUCCACAUGAAUAUUGAGAAAUGACUAUAAUUACAAAUCAUGGUGAAAGAAAGAGAAGCAGAGCUAAGCUGGAACUGUGGAUGUGAAGAGAGGAAUACAGUGUUGGUCUUGGAGAAGCACCUUGAUUGCAACUGGGAGAGAGAGAGACGCAUGCCUUAUUGAAUACAAAGCAGUGAGUACAAUGAAUCAGAAACACCUACACUCUCUUGUCCCUGUUCACAUUGCACUGUUUCUAUUUUAAUUGGCAUUUUAAGCAUCAAAAACCCACUCUGGUGAAUUAUGUAGAUGUAUAUUAAAAGGGCAUUAGAAAAGUUGAGUGUGGUGACACAUGUCUGCAAUCCUAGCACUUUGGGAGGCUGAGGUAGGAGAAUCACAAGUUU